GGGUCCGCACAAGCGGUGGAGCAUGUGGUUUAAUUCGAUGGUAACCGAAGAACCUUACCAGGGAUUGACAUGUAACUGAAGGUAGAGAAAUCUACUGGCCUGCUGCAAAGCGGGAGGUUACACAGGUGGUGCACGGCCGUCGUCAGCUCGUGCCGUGAGGUGUUGGGUUAAGUCCCGCAACGAGCGCAACCCCUACGAUUAGUUACUAACGCGGAAAGGCGAGGACUCUAAUCGGACUGCCGCCGACGAGGCGGAGGAAGGAGGGG
rnacentral:rRNA from 1 species